rnacentral:tRNA from 2 species
ACUUAUAUAAUAUAAAUAAAUUAUAUUUGACUUCCAAUCAAAAAAUCUGCUUACCAGUAUAAGUA